AACGAACGCUGGCGGCAGGCCUAACACAUGCAAGUCGAGCGCCUCGCAAGAGGAGCGGCAGACGGGUGAGUAACGCGUGGGAAACUACCCUUUGGUACGGAACAACUCGGCGAAAGCUGAGCUAAUACCGUAUGUGUCCUUCGGGAGAAAGAUUUAUCGCCAAAGGAUGUGCCCGCGUCGGAUUAGCUGGUUGGUGGGGUAACGGCCCACCAAGGCGACGAUCCGUAGCUGGUCUGAGAGGAUGAUCAGCCACACUGGGACUGAGACACGGCCCAGACUCCUACGGGAGGCAGCAGUGGGGAAUAUUGGACAAUGGGGGCAACCCUGAUCCAGCCAUGCCGCGUGAGUGAUGAAGGCCUUAGGGUUGUAAAGCUCUUUCGCCCGCGAAGAUAAUGACUGUAGCGGGAGAAGAAGCCCCGGCUAACUUCGUGCCAGCCGCCGCAGUAAAAC
rnacentral:rRNA from 1 species